GGUGGGAACGCACGACCGCAAAUCUGACUCGUCGCCCGCUUGGGCGGCUCGGGAUUGCGGUGGUGU
rnacentral:ncRNA from 1 species